AUUGAACGCUGGCGGCAUGCCUUACACAUGCAAGUCGAACGGCAGCACGGGUGCAUGCACCUGGUGGCGAGUGGCGAACGGGUGAGUAAUACAUCGGAACGUACCUUAUCGUGGGGGAUAACGCAGCGAAAGCUGUGCUAAUACCGCAUACGCCCUGAGGGGGAAAGCGGAGGAUCGCAAGACCUCGCGCGAUUAGAGCGGCCGAUGCCUGAUUAGCUUGUUGGUGGGGUAAAAGCCCACCAAGGCGACGAUCAGUAGCUGGUCUGAGAGGACGAGCAGCCAGACUGGGACUGAGGCGCGGCCCAGAGUCCUACGGGAGGCAGCAGUGGGGAAUUUUGGACAAUGGGGGCAACCCUGAUCCAGCAAUGCCGCGUGAGUGAAGAAGGCCUUCGGGUUGUAAAGCUCUUUUGUCAGGGAAGAAACACCGGCUCUAACACAGUCCGGGAAUGACGGUACCUGAAGAAUAAGCACCGACUAACUACGUGCCAGCAGCCGCCGUAA
rnacentral:rRNA from 1 species